GGUGCUGUGACUUAGCUGGUAAAAGCACCUGUUUCGUAAACAGGCGAUCCUGGGUUCAAGUCCCAGCAGCACCU